rnacentral:rRNA from 1 species
UACGUAGGGUGCAAGCGUUGUCCGGAAUUAUUGGGCGUAAAGAGCUCGUAGGCGGUUUGUCGCGUCUGCUGUGAAAACUCGGGGCUUAACUCCGGGCCUGCAGUGGGUACGGGCAGACUAGAGUGCGGUAGGGGAGACUGGAAUUCCUGGUGUAGCGGUGAGAUGCGCAGAUAUCAGGAGGAACACCGGUGGUGUAAACGGCUUUCUGGACCAUAACUGACGCUGAGGCACGAAAGCGUGGGUAGCAAACAGG